rnacentral:lncRNA from 1 species
ACAUGGUGAUUCAGAGUGCUAGGAAAAUUUGCAGAUGGUUAUACAAUCAUUCGAAGCUUCAUGCUAUGGUGACAACAACUAUAGGUGGUGAAUUGGUUAAGUGGAAUGCUACACGGUUCGGCACAAACUACAUGUUCCUUCAGAGUUUCCUUAGGAAGCGAGAUCAGUUCAUGAAGUGCAUGGCUUCCUCUAGCUUCAUGCAAAGCGAAUUCAGUGGCACAGCGGAAGGUAGAUAUGCACACACCUACCUAUCUAGCAAGGGGUGGUGGGAAAACAUAGAGGCAAUAACGACCCAAGCAAUGUACUCCCUCCGCUUUGCUGACGAGGACAAGAACCCCAAUUUGAGUGAGGUUCUUCUGAGAUAUCAAUUGAUUAAAAUGGAGUAUGUCAGUCUAUUCGCGAGUGAAAGGGACUAGUACGCAGCUUACAUGGAUAUUGUUGACAGAAGUUUGCACGACCUGACCAAUGAUACACUCAUCAAUGUUAGCAAGUAGCUAGCACUUAUGUUCUUAACAUAAUCUUGUAUUCAUAGUAAAUAACCCUUUACCUAACUUGUGCCAUGUUUUGUAGCUGCAGCACUAAACCCUCGGAUGCACUACGCGUACAUUGCAAGUGCGACCGUCUUCCAAGACCUCCGUCAGGCCUUCGAGCGGAUGACGAACAUUGAAAUGGUUGCUGCCACUUUGCUGGAGGUUGAGAUGUAUCGAUGUAAGAGUAGCGAAUUUGGGAGGCCGCUUGCAAGAAAGAUGGUGAUGGAUGGGAAAAGUUGGCUUGGUAUGUUUCAGAUAAUGCAACUAUCAAAAGUCCGAAUGCUUUCGACGUAUUCAAAAUUAAAAUGACAUGUUACUCGGCAUUUGCAGCACAAUGGCGGUCUAUGUUUACAUCGGGCAUGCCGAAUUUGAAGAAACUUGUGUUGCGUUUGAUUGAUCAGUGUUGCUCUUCAAGUGGAUGUGAAUGGAAUUGGAGCACACUUGCAUCCAUACAUACAAUGAUCCGUAACAAACUUACACACAACAAGCUCAACAAACUUGUCUAUGUCAACUACAACCUUCGCCUUCAAAUUCAGCAAACAAAUACCCAAGUUAGGAAGGACGAUGACGAUCCCCUUCAAAGGCCAGCGGACCUAUCAUUCUACGACACUAACAAUCAGAUUAGC